UUGACGGGGAGCACUACAACGGGUGGAGCUGCGGUUUAAUUGGAUCAACGCCGGAAAUCUCACCGGGGCGACAGCAAUAUGAAGGUCAGGCUGAAGACCUUACCCGAUUAGCUGAGAGGUGGUGCAUGGCCGUCGUCAGUUCGUACUGUGAAGCAUCCUGUUAAGUCAGGCAACGAGCGAGACCCACGUCCACAGUUGCCAGCAUACCCUCCGGGGUGAUGGGUACACUGUGGAGACCGCCGCUGCUAAAGCGGAGGAAGGAGUGGGCAACGGUAGGUCAGUAUGCCCCGAAUCUCCCGGGCUACACGCGGGCUACAAUGGUUGGUACAAUGGGCAUCUACCCCGAAAGGGGAAGGAAAUCUCUUAAAGCCAAUCGUAGUUCGGAUUGAGGGCUGCAACUCGCCCUCAUGAAGCUGGAAUCCGUAGUAAUCGCGUUUCAACAGAACGCGGUGAAUACGUCCCUGCUCCUU
rnacentral:rRNA from 1 species